AGAGUUUGAUCCUGGCUCAGGAUGAACGCUAGCGGCAGGCCUAAUACAUGCAAGUCGAACGGUAACAUGAGAGCUUGCUCUUGAUGACGAGUGGCGCACGGGUGCGUAACGCGUAUGCAACCUACCUUUUACUGGGGGAUAGCCCGGAGAAAUCCGGAUUAAUACUCCAUGGUACUGUAAUGUAGCAUUACAUAGCAGUUAAAGAUUUAUUGGUAAAAAAUGGGCAUGCGUGACAUUAGUUAGUUGGUAAGGUAACGGCUUACCAAGACGAUGAUGUCUAGGGGUUCUGAGAGGAAGGUCCCCCACACUGGUACUGAGACACGGACCAGACUCCUACGGGAGGCAGCAGUAGGGAAUAUUGGUCAAUGGACGCAAGUCUGAACCAGCCAUGCCGCGUGCAGGAUGACAGCUUUCUGAGUUGUAAACUGCUUUUAUAUAGGAACAAAGAGGCCAUGCGUGGCAAGUUGCGUGUACUAUAUGAAUAAGCACCGGCUAACUCCGUGCCAGCAGCCGCGGUAAUACGGAGGGUGCAAGCGUUGUCCGGAUUUAUUGGGUUUAAAGGGUGCGUAGGUGGUUUUUUAAGUCAGUGGUGAAAGCCUGCAGCUUAACUGUAGAGGUGCCAUUGAAACUGGAGAACUUGAGUAUGGACGAGGUAGGCGGAAUUUGUGGUGUAGCGGUGAAAUGCAUAGAUACCACAAAGAACACCAAUAGCGAAGGCAGCUUACUGGACCAUAACUGACACUGAGGCACGAAAGCGUGGGGAGCGAACAGGAUUAGAUACCCUGGUAGUCCACGCCGUAAACGAUGCUAACUCGAUGUAUGCGAUAUACUGUAUGCGUCCAAGCGAAAGCGUUAAGUUA
rnacentral:rRNA from 1 species